rnacentral:tRNA from 1 species
ACUAUUUUGGCAGAUUAAUGUAAUAAAUUUAGAAUUUAUUUAUGUAUAUAUAUUUAUAUACAAUUAGUA